AACACCUUAGUGUCUAUUUAUAGGCAAGGUGCGCAGUUCAUCGACUAAAAGUUGGUUGGCGAAAGCUUAAGAUAUAGUCAAACCUCAUCUGAAAGGAUGCAGAACAGCUUAGUAUUAAAAAAAUUAUGGAGAUACUUAAAUCAUUGCUACAUGCUUCGGUAUAAUCUUUGGCCUUUAAUUAUUAACCAUAUUAGGUUUAUAAAGCAGGAUAAAUAAUGGUGACAAUAUAAUAAAUAAUCAUGACAAUAAAAAACUAUGAAAAAAUUAAAAAUUAUAGUGAGCAACUUAAUAAAAGCAUUAGCCGGGUUUUGCAUUUUUAACUAGCAUACUAUAGUAACAUAUGUAUAUGAGUUUAUAGUUAUAGUGUGCUUGGUAGUUUAUUUAUUGAGUCUUUGAGAUGACAUUUUAAGUCAUAUAUGAAACCCUAAGUGAUUGUAAUGACAAUAUACCUUUUCCAGUACAAAGGUAAGAAGAAUUAAAAAUAUUACAGGAUGAAGUAUGACAAAAUAACGAUUAAUCUCUAAGGGUAAAAAGGAGUAAUUUACUUUAGUUUAUCAUUAUUUAUUUUAAAUAUAGUGUAACAAACAAAUGUCUUUUAAUACGAAGUUAGUUCUAAAUAGAUGAUUACAUAUCAUUUAGGGAGAAGGACCUCAGCUUUGCCUGUUUAAUGGCUAAAGAGGUAGAUUUGUUUCUGCGAAACCUAUAUAAGUAGGUAAUUUAAAUAGAAUAUCAGAAGGUACAGAAUUGUGAUCUCAUGCAACCAGUAUUUAUUUUUAUAUUAAUCAAAAAAAUAACAGCUUGUUUGUGUGCUUAUAUUAGGUUAUGCUACGUAAGUAUUCAUGCAUGUAUGCCUUUUUUAGGGUAAUUUAUAAUAUAUAUAAAAAUAUACUUUUUGUGGACAUUGGGGGGUCGUGAAGACUCUAUCAGUGAGUAUUUGUUCUCGGAAGGACUAGAUAUGUAUAUUGAAUAAUCGGACAUAGUACGAUAAGGUUGUAUGUCUAAAGGGAAAUAGCCCAGAACAAGAGUUAAUAAGGUUCCAAAAUUUUUGUUAAGUGAAAUUAAGGCAGUAUUUAUCCCAAUCGGCCAGGGAAUAGGCUUAGAAGCGGCCAUUUUUUGAAGACCUCGUAACAGAGCACUGGUUUUUUAUUUUAUGGAUAAAAGCACCGAAAAUUUAACGGAUCUAAACAAAAUACCGAUACCUUGUCCAUAUAUAUUAAUGUGUAUAUUAUAUAUUGUAUAUGUGGGGUAGCGGAACAUUGGGUAGCCAUUUUUAAUCCUUUAUAAGGAUUAAUUCGCCUAGAGUUUAAGUUGUUAUUCUCUGGACUAAAUAAGCCCAAGUGAUAAUGCUGACAUGAGUAACGAUAAAGGAUCAAUAGUACAUAAAAGGUCGAAGAAUCCUCGCCUAAAGCUUAUGGAAUUUAUUAAAGUUACGGCCUCUAAGUUUAUUUUUUUUUUUUAGCUUCCGAUUAUUUAUAUAUAGUAUAUAUUUAACAUCUACAUCUAAAUAGUCGAGAGUUAUGACGAAUUACCUAAUGGUAUAAACGAUGAGAAAACCUAGAGCUUACAGUAAUUAACGUUUUUUAUUUACGUAGUAACUGAAACUCCGCUUUUCCCCUUGAAUUAUUGUUUUAAUAAUCUAUUCUUAAAGGGAAAACGAAACCUGUUUACUAAUAUUUUAAGUAAAUUAAGUGAAAAAUGUUCUGGAAAACUGUAGGCUCCGUAAGUAAUAUAAAAAAAGUAAAACAAAAUAUAUUGUAAGCUUACGCUAUAAUACCGUACCUAAAUACUAACACAAGUGAGCAAGUAGAGAAUACGAAGGCGUUCGAGCUAACAAUCAUUAAGGAACUCGGCAAAUUGACUCUCGUAACUUCGGGAUAAGGUGGACCAUUUCUUCUGAUUAAUAUCAGGCAAGAAAGAGGAGGCAUAGAAUGGUGUUGUACGACUGUUUAAUUAAAACAAAGCACGCUGCGAAGAAAUAAAUUCGAAGUAUUGAGUGUGAUCUCUGCCCGAUGGCGGCUGGUUAACUAAUUUGCUUAGUUAAAUCAAAUAAGCUAGGCUUUGAUGGAAACCCCGUUCAAUGGCGGCCUUACCUAUAAGGGUCCUAAGGUAGCGUAAUACCUUGGCCGUUAAAUGCGGUCUUGCAUGAAUGAUGUAACGAUACAACAGCUGUCUCUAUGAUUGGCUCGGUGAAAUUGGAAUAACUGUGCAGAUACAGUUUACCUUUAGUUGGACGAGAAGACCCUAUGCAGCUUUACUGUUGCUAGUUACUGAGUAUGAUAUAAUGAGUUGUAGGGUAUAAGGUAAUUAAGAUAGAAUUGAAACACCUUUACUUCAUUUAUCAUAUUAUAUAAACCUUACAAGCAAAUUGCCAGUAAAGUCAAUAAAUAUGAUUACUGGUUGUAAGAAUUGAUAGGAACAAUUGCUAGGUGGCAGUUUAUGCGGGGCACAGAUCCCAUAAAGAGUACCUGGGAGUAUCCAAAUUUACUUAUCAAGUUUAACGGCUUAAUCUUGCUUUACUGUUUGACUUACAUGUCUUUCAGUUGCGUAAGCGGGGCAUAUGAUCACAAGAUGCAGAAAGGAAAGGUCUUGGAUUAUUGAAAAAGUUACGCUAGGGAUAACAGGCUAAUCCCGCCAGAGAGUUCAAAUUGAGUGCGGGGUUUGGCACCUCGAUGUCGGCUUAGCUCAUCCACAUGAAUGUAGGAGUCAUGAAGGGUCCGACUGUUCGUCGAUUAAAGAGCUACACGAGCUGGGUUAAAUACGUUGUAAGACAGUAUGGUUUCUAUCCUCUAGAGGAAGUUGGAAUAAAUUAAGGAUAGCCCCUUGUACGAGAGGAAUUGGGUAUAUUAACCUAUGGUUUACCUGUUGUUUGUUUUGCCAUAUUAUUGUAACUGAUAGAGAUAUUGUCUCCAUUUUGUUAUAGCCCCUGAGUUUAUAACCAAGAACGCAAUAUUCUGGGUGUCAUGGCUUAUGCUGGUAAUUACUUUUCACUAAAGUAAUACUUAAUUAGGCAGAGUAUAAACUGGAAUACUUGAUACUGUCUAAUUAAAAGGCACGGCAGGAAAGCUACGUUAGUUAAUGAUAAGUGCUGAAUGCAUAUAGGCACGAAACAUACCUUAGGAUAUUCUCAUAUAUACGUAGUUUAAUACUACAAUUU
rnacentral:rRNA from 1 species